ACAUGUGGGGAACUGAAGGAUAGACAAGUU
rnacentral:piRNA from 1 species